rnacentral:misc_RNA from 1 species
UACUGCUGUGGGUAGCGUUGUUCGGAAUUACUGGGCGUAAAGCGCACGUAGGCGGAUUGGUCAGUUAGGGGUGAAAUCCCGGAGCUCAACUCCGGAACUGCCUUUAAUACUGCCAGUCUAGAGACCGAGAGAGGUAAGUGGAACUCCUAGUGUAGAGGUGGAAUUCGCAGAUAUUAGGAAGAACACCAGUGGCGAAGGCGGCUUACUGGCUCGGAACUGACGCUGAGGUGCGAAAGCGUGGGGAGCAAACAGG